AGGACGAACGCUGGCGGCACGCUUAACACAUGCAAGUCGAACGAGAUCCAAGGAGCUUGCUCCUGAAGAUCUAGUGGCGAACGGGUGCGUAACACGUGAGAAACCUGCCUUGAACUUGGGAAUAACAGUCGGAAACGACUGCUAAUACCGAAUAUCUUCACGACGUCGCAUGGCGAUGUGAAGAAAGCUUUAUGCGGUUCAAGAGGUCUCGCGGCCUAUCAGCUAGUUGGUGAGGUAACGGCUCACCAAGGCAGUCGACGGGUAG
rnacentral:rRNA from 1 species